UACGUAGGGUGCAAGCGUUAAUCGGAUUUACUGGGCGUAAAGGGCGCGCAGGCGGCUCAUUUUGUCAGGCGUGAAAGCCCCGGGCUUAACCUGGGAACUGCGUUUGAUACGGAUGGGCUAGAGUUCGGGAGAGGAGAGUGGAAUUCCCAGUGUAGAGGUGAAAUUCGUAGAUAUUGGGAAGAACACCGGUGGCGAAGGCGGCUCUCUGGACCGAGACUGACGCUGAGGCGCGAAAGCGUGGGGAGCAAACAGG
rnacentral:rRNA from 1 species